rnacentral:tRNA from 1 species
UGCGCCGUGGAGCAGUCGGUAGCUCGCUGGGCUCAUAACCCAGAGGUCGCGGGUUCAAGUCCCGCCGGCGCUACAA